AGUAACGAUAAAGCGGGUGAAAAGCCCGCGCGCCGGAAGACCAAGGGGUCCUGUCCAACGUUCAUCGCGGCAGGGUGAGUCGACCCCUAAGGCGCGGCCGAAAGGCGUAGUCGAUGGGAAACAGGAUAAUAUUCCUGUACUUGGCGUUACUGCGCAGGGGGGCCGGAGAAGGCUAUGUUGGCCGGGCGACGGUUGUCCCGGUUUAAGCGUGUAGGCUGGUUUUCCAGGCAAAUCCGGCAAAUCAAGGCUG
rnacentral:rRNA from 1 species